rnacentral:lncRNA from 1 species
GGAGCUGUGAGUAUUGCACUGGAUUCUGUGGGAGGAUAGAGGAUACCUUGUAAGGCUCCUUUGCAGACAUUGUGCCUGACCCCAGUGGCAAGGCUUCCAGAUUCUUCUGAAUCAAACCCUUUAUGUCCAACCGAAUCCACCUGGAAAACACGCAAGAGUGAGUUCCUAGAACGUCAAAAUGAAGGAGCAGACCUCUGCAUGCCGUCACCAGACACCACAGAAACAUCCUGAUACCUCUGAAGAGAGCCAGGCAAUGGAGUCUGUGGAUAACCUCUGCAGUCAGUAUGAGGAGAAGGUGCGGCCCUGCAUUGACCUCAUCGACUCCCUGCGAGCUCUGGGUGUGGAGCAAGACCUGGCCCUGCCUGCCAUCGCUGUCAUCGGGGACC